ensembl:misc_RNA Metazoa_SRP Metazoan signal recognition particle RNA
AGCUGGCGUAGUGACACGUGCCUGUAGCCCCACCUACUCAAAAGGUUGAGUCUGGAGGAUCGCUUGAGUUCAGGAGUUCUGGGCUGUAGUGCGCUAUGCCGAUCGGGUGUCCACACUAAGUUCAGCAUCAAUAUGGUGACCUCCUGGGAGUGGGGGACCACCAGGUUGCCUAAGGAGGGGUAACGGAACAGGUCAAAACUCCUGUGCUGAUCAGUAGUGGGAUUGCACCUGUGAAUAGCCACUGCACUCCAGCCUGGGCAACAUAGCGAGACCCUGUCUCU